UUUACUGGGCAACCGCUGGCAGCCCCUGCGCUGCUAGAGGAAAGUCGGGACUGGCCUUGUCUGCAGCUAUGCAGACAAGAAAGUUGGUGCACAGCGCAAGCUGUGGCAGGGUGACCUGACGGCAGCGAAUCUAUCCCUCGAGGAUAGUAGUAGCUAUAAAAGCUCCACAGAAACGACCCGUGUGGCGACACAACGGAUGAAACGAGGAAAGCCCCACCAGCCAGCAACGCAAAUUAUGGUAGCGGCACCCCUGUUUAGGGGCGGAGACAUUGUCUCUGAGAUAGAUGGUUGCCUUAAAUGACAGAAUCCCGCUUACAGGU
rnacentral:RNase_P_RNA from 1 species